CGGAGCGUGGCGCAGUCUGGUAGCGCAUCUGGUUUGGGACCAGAGGGUCGUAGGUUCGAAUCCUAUCGCUCCGACCA
rnacentral:tRNA from 5 species